UGUUAAACACAUUAAGGACUGUAAACAACUACUGUAUGUUUCACAGUUAUACUUAAGUAUGCACUUCACUUUUUGUUGUCACUGGUUCUUUUGUCUCUUCUUUCAUAUCUCUCUUUCAGGAGAGGAAGGUGCCAGAAGGGAGGUGAAAGGACACCAAAACUGAUGUCCUUGUUUCCAGCAAGGAAAAGCGAUGUCAGAGCAACAAUUCAAGCACAGACGAACAUUCUACUUCAGAUGGAAUCCAACGUGAGCAGACAAGGGACGUUGUCAUCCGAUUCCUUAUUGACUAUCUUGCUGAACAUGCUAGUGCCCUUUUCAAGGACUUUGAGGAUGCUGGGGAUGGAUCAACCAGCAUUCAAGAGCAGAUGGCAGAUGAAGUGAUGGCGAUUUACCUGUUGCGGAAAGAUGGGUCAGUUGAUGUCGGCAUAGUGAUUGAGGGCAGCACUAUCCUCUGCACUCUUAAGGAUCUUAAGAGGU